rnacentral:rRNA from 1 species
UACGUAGGGUGCGAGCGUUAAUCGGAAUUACUGGGCGUAAAGCGUGCGCAGGCGGUUUUGUAAGCCAGAUGUGAAAUCCCCGGGCUUAACCUGGGAAUGGCCAUGGAAACUGGCGAACUGGAGUGUGGCAGAGGGGGGUGGAAUUCCGCGUGUAGCAGUGAAAUGCGUAGAGAUGCGGAGGAACACCGAUGGCGAAGGCAGCCCCCUGGGCUAGCACUGACGCUCAGGCACGAAAGCGUGGGGAGCAACCAGG